AAAAUAUAACAAAGGCAAUAAUUCAAGAAAAAAUGGAAAGAUCGAGCAUCACUAUUUUUCAGACUACUCAAUGUGUACAGAGGCCCCAUCUUUUUUUUUUUUUUUUUUUUUUUU
rnacentral:ribozyme from 14 species